rnacentral:rRNA from 1 species
AGUGAACGCUGGCGGUAGGCCUAAGACAUGCAAGUCGAACGGCAGCACAGGAGAGCUUGCUCUCUGGGUGGCGAGUGGCGGACGGGUGAGGAAUACAUCGGAAUCUGCCCAGUCGUGGGGGAUAACGUAGGGAAACUUACGCUAAUACCGCAUACGACCUUCGGGUGAAAGAGGGGGAUCGCAAGACCUCUCGCGAUUGGAUGAGCCGAUGUCGGAUUAGCUAGUUGGCGGGGUAAUGGCCCACCAAGGCGACGAUCCGUAGCUGGUCUGAGAGGAUGAUCAGCCACACUGGAACUGAGACACGGUCCAGACUCCUACGGGAGGCAGCAGUGGGGAAUAUUGGACAAAGGGCGCAAGCCUGAUCCAGCCAUACCGCGUGGGUGAAGAAGGCCUUCGGGUUGUAAAGCCCUUUUGUUGGGAAAGAAAUCUUUCAGGCUAAUACCCUGGGAGGAUGACGGUACCCAAAGAAUAAGCACCGGCUAACUUCGUG